rnacentral:lncRNA from 13 species
CAUCUCCCUUUUCCACCAUGAUAAUUUGAUUUUGGCUCUCAGACCCUUCAUUUAUAUCUGAUACGCCAGGUCUCCUAAUCUGGAAGUUUAGAAAUGAAAGAUAAGUGUAACUAGAAGCUAAGAGGAUAUAGGAAAAGCAAUUACUGUAUCUAGGAGUGGUGAAGGUUGGGAAGAAGAAAAGGUAGGGGGUCUAAAAUCUGUGUCUUGAAGGCAUUGUUUUCCAGGUGGAGAUGUCCAAGUGUAAAUUUAUGUAAGCUGGACAAAACAGCCAUGCCAAGGCAGAGAGACAUGGAAACGGUUGCUGUGACAGCCCUAUGACGAGAGUUGAUGUGUGGAAGUGUGGAAUGGGAGCCCCAGGGAGAAUGAUGGAAGAAAUGGGCCAGAUGACCCCUUCAGUAUAUUGGUAUUCUCCAGUCAACAACCUCAAAACUCAUCAAACAGUAUGAAAAGAGAAAGGAAGGUCAGAGACGAAGGCCUGGAUGAGCAAAGAGGGCUACAACUUCUCAAUAACAUGAGCAAUGGAAUUCCUUUCUCCUAGUCCAAACAGAAGACAUAGUCAUAAAGCAAACCAUGUUUUAUUAUAUAUAUAACUUUAGGCUUGAUCCAAAAAGGAUUUGAGUCUGUGUACAGCAAGGGCCAGGGGUAUGGAAAUUCACUAAAAAUAAACAGUAAAGCAGAAUCGUAAGAAUAAGAAAA